rnacentral:rRNA from 1 species
GUGCUUGCACUAAAUGAAACUACAUACAAGCGAGCGGCGGACGGGUGAGUAACACGUGGGUAACCUGCCCAAGAGACUGGGAUAACACCUGGAAACAGAUGCUAAUACCGGAUAACAACACUAGACGCAUGUCUAGAGUUUGAAAGAUGGUUCUGCUAUCACUCUUGGAUGGACCUGCGGUGCAUUAGCUAGUUGGUAAGGUAACGGCUUACCAAGGCAAUGAUGCAUAGCCGAGUUGAGAGACUGAUCGGCCACAUUGGGACUGAGACACGGCCCAAACUCCUACGGGAGGCAGCAGUAGGGAAUCUUCCACAAUGGACGAAAGUCUGAUGGAGCAACGCCGCGUGAGUGAAGAAGGGUUUCGGCUCGUAAAGCUCUGUUGGUAGUGAAGAAAGAUAGAGGUAGUAACUGGCCUUAAUUUGACGGUAAUUACUUAGAAAGUCACGGCUAACUACGUGCCAGCAGCCGCGGUAAUACGUAGGUGGCAAGCGUUGUCCGGAUUUAUUGGGCGUAAAGCGAGUGCAGGCGGUUCAAUAAGUCUGAUGUGAAAGCCUUCGGCUCAACCGGAGAAUUGCAUCAGAAACUGUUGAACUUGAGUGCAGAAGAGGAGAGUGGAACUCCAUGUGUAGCGGUGGAAUGCGUAGAUAUAUGGAAGAACACCAGUGGCGAAGGCGGCUCUCUGGUCUGCAACUGACGCUGAGGCUCGAAAGCAUGGGUAGCGAACAGGAUUAGAUACCCUGGUAGUCCAUGCCGUAAACGAUGAGUGCUAAGUGUUG